GUGCCCGGAUGCGGCCUUUUCUUUGGUCGGAGCGGGACGGCCACCAGAGCGGCUGGGUAAGGGGCGGGUGUCGGGGAGCGAGGGACGCACGUUCAGAAACAGGACUGCUUAUCAGGACACCGUUUUCUAAGUGGGCCCAGGUCUUUCUAUUUUAAAAGUGCAUUUGCCCCCGAGCAGGCGCCUCACGGUGGGCGCGGAGCCCGAGGCGGGACCCGAACUCGUGAACCGCAAGGUCACGACCUGAGCCUGAAACCAAGAGUCUGAUGCUUCACUGGCUGAACCACCAGGCGUCGCUCUGCAAAUCGAUUCCGGUGGCAACUAGGGGAAGACCAUUGGGACCUUGAAACUUGGUCCGGGGGGACUGAGCUGAAGACCACCAAGACACUGCACACAGACCACCCAUUGCAGAGUCUUGCACGGAUCUGCUGGCCAGUCUCGCGGUGAUACCGCAAGGCACCCUAAGCCAGGUUUUGGAGGGCGAGCGGAAGAGCGAGAGCAGGUGUUGAAAAGCCAUGAAAAAAAAAAAAGAAUUAAAAC